ACGCUCGACACCUACGGGAAGCAGCAGUGGGGAAUAUUGCACAAUGGGGGAAACCCUGAUGCAGCGACGCCGCGUGAGCGAAGAAGUAUUUCGGUAUGUAAAGCUCUAUCAGCAGGGAAGAAGAAAGACGGUACCUGACUAAGAAGCCCCGGCUAACUACGUGCCAGCAGCCGCGGUAAUCUGAGCGGGCUGGCAAGGC
rnacentral:rRNA from 1 species